CAGUCAUGCUGCUGAGACUCAACCUUGGUUUUCCUUGGUGUACUUCUCAGUUGGCAGGCCAGCAUCAGUUUUGGCUGUUGGAUAAGGGUAGGAGGAAUGUGGCAUCCUCGGAUGUGUUAUAGCCUCUUACUGGAUACAACGGCUGGGACUGAGGAACGCAGUGUGCCUUCGGGCGGACCUUCGGGUACCUUCACCACUUAGGAUGCUGGCGUAAUGGCUUUAAGCGACCCGUCUUGAGACUCGGACCAAGGAGUACUAACAUAUGUG
rnacentral:rRNA from 1 species